rnacentral:rRNA from 1 species
GAGUCAGCGGCGCAUCUCCUAUUCCCAUGCCAAUUCUCGAUUGUAGUUUGGAAUGCGGUAAAGGCGAGGACCGGACUGAGCAAUAUUGUCACAGCUGACUGGGUGGCUAUGCAAAGUGUCAGACAUUGGUGGACUGAGAUUGUGCUUACACGCUCGCCUAACGGAAAAGGGAUGGCCUCCCUCCUUAUGCUUAUCUCUUGGGAACUUUGGAAGAAGAGGAAUGCUAGGGUCUUCCGGAAUGCUUCCGCACCUUUGAUAAUUCUCGUAGAAAAAAUCAUGGAUGAGGCAGUCCUGUGGGCUUUGGCGGAUGCCAAAGGGCUUGAUGUAUGCUUUAUCUUUGCCAUUGUAUGGUUGUUGUCUUAG